rnacentral:rRNA from 1 species
GACGUAGGGCGCGAGCGUUGUCCGGAUUUAUUGGGCGUAAAGAGCUCGUAGGCGGCUUGUCGCGUCGAAUGUGAAAUCUCAGGGCUCAACCUCGAGACGCCGAUGGAAACCAUAUGGCUAGAGUCCGGAAGAGGAGAGUGGAAUUCCUGGUGUAGCGGUGAAAUGCGCAGAUAUCAGGAAGAACACCCGUGGCUAAGGCGGCUCUCUAGUACGGUACUGACGCUGAGACGCGAAAGCGUGGGGAGCGAACAGG